rnacentral:rRNA from 1 species
UACGGAGGGUGCGAGCGUUAAUCGGAAUUACUGGGCGUAAAGGGUUCGUAGGUGGUUUGAUAAGUUAUCUGUGAAAUUCCCGGGCUCAACCUGGGGUUGUCAGGUAAGACUGUUAGACUAGAGUAUAGGAGAGGGUAGUGGAAUUUCCGGUGUAGCGGUGAAAUGCGUAGAUAUCGGAAGGAACACCGGUGGCGAAGGCGGCUACCUGGCCUGAUACUGACACUGAGGAACGAAAGCGUGGGGAGCAAACAGG